UACGGGGGGAGCAAGCGUUGUUCGGAUUUACUGGGCGUAAAGGGCGCGUAGGCGGCGCAACAAGUCACUUGUGAAAUCUCCGGGCUUAACCCGGAGCGGUCAAGUGAUACUGUCGUGCUAGAGUGCGGAAGGGGCUACUGGAAUUCUCGGUGUAGCGGUGAAAUGCGUAGAUAUCGGGAGGAACACCUGAGGCGAAGGCGGGCUACUGGGCCGAUACUGACGCUGAGGCGCGAAAGCCAGGGGAGCAAACGGG
rnacentral:rRNA from 1 species